AGCGAGACUAGAGUCACAUCCUGACACCACUACAUUGUCCUGGUGUGCUAGAGUCCUCGCAGAGUAAACCACUUCUCUGCUUAUUCAUUGGCUGCUGCUUCCUGUACUUCAGCCAAUCACCGGCUUAGAAACAUCA